UGGGGCAACAGAGGCCCCGAGGACAGUGGCUGUGGGCUUACAUCACCAGCUGACCAGAGAGAACUUAUCACUCCUGCUCUUUGACCGAGUUCUUUCGUUUGCGGAUCUCCAGCAGCACGGGAGUGUGAGCCAGCCCUCUUCACAGCCCGGAGCUGGGAAUGGUACCUUAGCACUCUGCGCUUAUGAGGGACAAAGGCCACCAUAAGCUCCCAGCAACCACAGAAAUAACCUGCCCAUGCACCUGAAUUAUGGAAAAAGAGAAGCUUGACGAGAAAGAGCAUUCCUGGAAUGCACCACCACGCCUUGCUGGAAAAUGUCAUUUUAUGUUGCACUCUGAAGAAAGCAAGAGUCACCUGAACUCCUAGAAUUUAAAACAUCCAUUCAAAUGACAAGAGGCUGCCUCUCCAAGCAAUGACCAGACCUGUCCAGGUUCUCACCAAAACUCCACCCUUCAUUUUGAAGAAAGAAAAUGCCACACAGAGGAAGUAACCAUCCUGAGGUGGAAACUCGCUGCCCUGCUAGUUCAACUUCUACAGAAAAGACACGCUGCACGGCCAGCUUCUCGGAGUGAUAAAGAUUUCACAUUUAAAGAAGAACAGAGCAAAGCUCACACACGCAAACUGUUAGAGCGCAUCAGCGAGCCACCUGUACCCGUUGCAAGAAGAGACGAUGCAAGCCAAAGGCGUGCUGCCUGGAAAGAACUUGACACAUGCUGUUUACAGUCCUGCCAUCUGCCCCAGGAGAAUUUAAUAUCUCUUCCAUUUUAUGGAUUUUUUUUUCCAGGAGUAGAACAGGGGUGACCUACGACAUGGAGACCUCAGUCAUCCAGCAGAGCUGAAAGAGCCAACUGUACACGUAAGGCUACAAUGGCCAAACUGUGUCAAAAGCUCAUGAUAAUUGAUUAACACUUCUAUCUCCUGCUCUAGUUCGCAGCAGAGCUGCUCCCAAAGAGAAACUCAAGCUCGAGCCCUUUAAGAUGCUGUAUGGAAGGUCCUUCCCCAGGGAACACGUGCUAAAGCACAGGCUAAUAUGGAAACCGAGCCAGCGAUAAAGCACACUUAACUUAGGACAGAGGUGGCUUCCGGGGUCAAGGCCUUGCUGCCAAGCCUACCGGCCCAAAUUCAGCCCCAAGACCCACAUUCCAGAAGGGGAAAGCAAAUUCCCAAAAGCUGUCCUCUGACUUCCGCACACGUGCUAUGGCACACUUGCCAGCACAUAUAGAAAUAAAUAUGUGUAACUUCA